rnacentral:rRNA from 1 species
UCGAUGAAGAACGCAGCGAAAUGCGAUACGUAGUGUGAAUUGCAGAAUUCCGCGAAUCAUCGAGUCUUUGAACGCAAGUUGCGCCCGAGGCUUGUCCGAGGGCAUUUCCGCUAGAGCGUCACCGCGCCCCCCACCGAUCCGCUCCCGCCGCGAGGCGCCAGUCGGUUCGAGUGCAAGUGGCCGUCCCGGCGAAGCGGCCUUCUUUCACGAGGAGGCCGUCCUUGGAAGGGUCGGCUGAAAUGGAUGGAAUCGUGCCGCCGUGGUGACACAGUCCGCGAUCGGGUGAUUUUGUCGCGAGCCUCCCGCCUGCGGGAGGCUCUUGGUGAAUUUUUCUAAGUGCUUGGCUGCGUCCCCCAGUUGGCUCGGGUUACCUCAUGCAGGUCGAGCGCGCCCCCGCGGCGCGCGUCACGCAUCAGACCUCUAAUCGGAAAAGACUACCCGCUGAGUUUAAGCAUAUCAAUAAGCG